UACUUCUUCGGACAAUAUACAAGGUGCUGCAUGGUUGUCGUCAGCUCGUGCCGUGAGGUGUCGGGUUAAGUCCCAUAACGAGCGCAACCCUCGCCCUUAGUUGCCAGCAUUUAGUUGGGCACUCUAAGGGGACUGCCGGUGAUAAGCCGAGAGGAAGGUGGGGAUGACGUCAAGUCCUCAUGGCCCUUACGGGCUGGGCUACACACGUGCUACAAUGGUGGUGACAGUGGGCAGCGAGCACGCGAGUGUGAGCUAAUCUCCAAAAGCCAUCUCAGUUCGGAUUGCACUCUGCAACUCGAGUGCAUGAAGUUGGAAUCGCUAGUAAUCGCGGAUCAGCAUGCCGCGGUGAAUACGUUCCCGGGCCUU
rnacentral:rRNA from 1 species